UUGACAGUCCUGGAGACAGAACUCCCGUAUCAACAGAAUACUUACUGCAAUGAGAAACGGCAACAUGCAUUUCCUACAAUGACUUGCCAGAACCCUGACCUAAAGGGACCACCCUUUGCCUUGGGAAUAUAAUUUAAUUUCCACACCUCAUUCACAGCCUUGUCUUAG
ensembl:misc_RNA